rnacentral:rRNA from 1 species
UGAAUACGAGAUGCUACGGCGUCGAAGCAGUCUAUGUCAUACUUCCAAGAAAAGCUCGCACUGUCAUAAACAAAUAAUGCCUGUACCAUAACCGACACAGGUGGGUAGGUAGAGUAUACUAAGGGGCGCGAGAUAACUCUCUCUAAGGAACUCGGCAAAAUGACUCCGUAACUUCGGGAGAAGGAGUGCCUUAUUUAUAAGGUUGCAAUAACAAGAUCCAAGCAACUGUUUAUCAAAAACACAGGUCUCCGCUAAGUCGUAAGACGAUGUAUGGGGGCUGACGCCUGCCCAGUGCCAGAAGGUUAAAGAAGUUGGUUAGCAUUCGCGAAGCUGAUAACUGAAGCCCUGGUGAACGGCGGCCGUAACUAUAACGGUCCUAAGGUAGCGAAAUUCCUUGUCGGGUAAGUUCCGACCCGCACGAAAGGCGUAAUGAUUUGGAUACUGUCUCGGAGAGGGGCUCGGUGAAAUAGACUUGUCUGUGAAGAUGCGGACUACCUGCACCAGGACAGAAAGACCCUAUGAAGCUUUACUGUAACUUGAGAUUGAAAUUGGACUUUACUUGCGCAGUAUAGGUGGGAGGCGUUGAUAAUAUUCUUGCGGGAUUAUUUGAGCCAUCAGUGAGAUACCACUCUUGUAAUGUUAGAUUUCUAACUUUGUAUCAUUAUCUGGUCAAAGGACAGUUUCAGGCGGGCAGUUUGACUGGGGCGGUCGCCUCCUAAACGGUAACGGAGGCGCACAAAGGUUUCCUCUGAACGGGUAGAAAUCGUAUCUAGAGUGUAAAGGCAUAAGGAAGCUUGACUGUGAGACCUACAAGUCGAGCAGGGACGAAAGUCGGUCUUAGUGAUCUGACGGUGCUGAGUGGAAAGGCCGUCACUCAACGGAUAAAAGUUACUCUAAGGAUAACAGGCUGAUCUCCCCCAAGAGUUCACAUCGACGGGGAGGUUUGGCACCUGGAUGUCGGCUCAUCGCAUCCUGGGGCGGUAGUACGUCCCAAGGGUUGGGCUGUUCGCCCAUGAAAGCGGUACGCGAGCUGGGUUCAGAACGUCGUGAGACAGUUCGGUCCAUAUCCGGUGUAGGCGUUAGAAUAUUGAGAGGAGCCUUCUUUAGUACGAGAGGACCGAGAAGGACACACCUCUGGUGUACCAGUUAUCGUGCCAACGGUAAACGCUGGGUAGCUAUGUAUGGAGUGGAUAACCGCUGAAAGCAUCUAAGUGGGAAGCCCACCUCAAGAUAAG